AGUUAUACCAUUAUAUAAAAUUAAGUUAAACAUUACAUAACUUAUGGGGCAUCCACCCUCUGGUAUGAAUUAUGAACAAUAUCAUGAUUAAAAAAUACAGCCCCUAGCAGAUUGUCAAUAGCUUUAACAAGUUAGCCUUAGGUUAACAGGUUCACCCUAAAAUAUACCUCUAAUAUAUGGAAAGCAAACACUGCCAUUUAUAUUUGUGAAGAUGUUCUAUCAACAUUUCAUCAGGAUUGAUCUUUCUCGAAUAUGACAUGGCUGAUUCUUUAUAUCAUGUGGAAACAUGGAUAAAGGGAAUCGUAGACAAUCACUGACUGGCCACUUGAUUGUGAUACAAGCCAAUGUCCAGGAAGGUUAUGGAUCUGAAUUGCAUUCAACAUUGAUGUUAUUGGAUCCUCCCUGGUGAGUUUGCUUGAUACUAUCAAGGUAUCUAUUAAGCCAUCUACUUUGGUGAAUUGGUUUUUCAAUAGAAUCUGGACUGCAUUGAUGUGAUUAUCAUUUAGAAGGUUGCCUGAAGUCAGUUCAUGUUUAUCAGCCUGAUACAAAUUCAAACUAGGCAAACAUACCCAGAGCUUUCUUUCUAGAUGAAAACAGGACUUCUUACUGGGUGAGCUGAGAUCAACUACAUCUGGCUUUGUAGAGCAUCUCUUCUUUGGUCUAUCUGAGGCAAGUGGCACAUGCACUUUGAAAUUUUUCUUCAUUACUUCAGCAUGCUUCCCAACUCGGCCUGUGUAGGGGUGUUUUGGGCGACCAUAUUUUCUGGUUGUUAAUGUUUUUAUCUUUCCCUUUUUCUUUUGACCAUUUUUUGUGAUGUGUUUUCUCCCUCUUGUGGUUACUGGAUUUUUCUUAACUUGGGUUUUUUUUAUGAUAAUUCCUGCUUCCUGGGGUGCUGUACUUCGUGCCUUCUCUAAAAUCCCCUCCAACUCACUGGCAAGACUGGAAAGUUGUUGUUUGUCAUCCAUUAGAAAUGUAAGGUUUGAAAGUUCCUUCAUCAAAUUGCGGCACUUGAGACGAAGAGCAUUUUUGCCACUUGUUCUUUUAGGUGGAAGUGAUUUAUAAUCUUUAUUGACCAGUUCAGGGGGUGAAGGUGGUAUGAAAUCAUCAUUGUCUCUUUUUUCUGUUGGAGGUUGAUCAUUGGUUACAUUUCCUUGCUGUUUAACAAUGUGUUUAUUUUCAGGAUAACUGUUAUCUGGUGGAACAAUUUUCUGAUCUAAUGAAAACAGUGGAUUUCCUAUGUAUUUGGCACUCAGGUUUUCCCAUCUCCAUUCUGGAAAAGCUUUCAUGCAAGCACAAAAGUGUUUGCAAAGAAGCUUGUUGUGUCUCCAGUCCAAGCAUGUGCAGUUUGGGAGAGUUUCUUCAUCACCAAAGAAUAAUCUGUAUAUGUUCCCUCCUGUUGAACUCUUUACAUCAAAGACCCCAGGAGACACCAUUUGGACCAUGUCAUUUGUGAUGUCACUUUCCCAGCGCUUUAUUAUAUGAGAUACCAUUUUUGCUGGUCUAUUGUGCAAAAAUUUGGGAAGAUCCUUAUGGUAUGCACGAUAACCAUCAUGGCAUUUCACAUUUAACUCAACAUACCUAUAUGAUGUCCAUUCUUGCCAUGACUUCUCCCGAUGAAAAUCACAAAGAAGUACUUCUGCAUCUGAAUAAUAUAAAUGACAUUGAGGUGCAUCAGGUAUAUCUACAAGCAGAUGUAAGGUAUCUGUUCAAUUCCGAAAUUGGUUUUGAACAGCUGUUUAUCUGUUUUUCCUUACCUUCAAAGACUGUUUCGAGAGCUUGAAUUUCUUCCUCAGCAAAAUCUACCAUAAAACGCGAAGGGGUCCAUGUGUUAAUAUUCCACUCCUUGAAAACCAUUAAUGCUUCCUUUAUACAUUGUGUGUUCUCGUACUGUAUGACAAAUGAGCCGACAACUUCAUAACAAACAUUCGUUCUUACACACAGGAAGUACAAUGGAAGGUCAUAUUUUGUUGUUCUGUAGGUUGCAUCCAGCAGACACAUUUGGUUACCAUACUUUGCGAGGAGAUGUCGUUGAUCACUGGUCUGAUGACAGAACAGUAAUGUUUGGGUGGAGUAUUCGUCGGAGGUGACGCAGUCAUCUUCAUCCUGAACACAAUCAUCUGGUACUGGCUUAGCACAAUGGGGACGAUAGAGAAAUGAGUCUUCUGGAUGCUCAUUCUUCCAUUUUUCGACCAGUCUCUUCAAAUUUUCUUGGUCAAUUGUGGAGAAAUUGUCUGGUUUUCCUUUGUACAAAUGAUUAUAAAUGUCCUUGUUAGUAGGAUAAUAUCGCCUACUAGUUUUGUCUGGCGGUUUACAUCCCUUGAAGAGGUCACAUUGCACGAAAAGCUCGAGGUACCUGCGUGCCUCACUUACUGAGUGGACACCUUCUUGGGCUAGCUCUGAAAGUUUUUCCACUAUAACCGGGUCCAGUGGCUCUCUUAUUCCAGCAGCCUGUAAUAUAAAAAAUAACCAUUACAUUAAUAAUUUUAACAAUCGCGCGUGUUUUAUAAGUAAAUUACAGUACUUUUAAAUUCUAAUAUGUGCCAAUCCUGUCGCAAUGUUAUGUAGGUUUAUAUAUUUUCGGUUUUUGUGGCAAU
rnacentral:lncRNA from 1 species